rnacentral:lncRNA from 1 species
CCUCUCUCCCUUGCAGCCGCGUCCACCCUCUCCCCGACCUCUCACUCUCUCGUCCUCCCUCUCUGCCAUUGCAGAAAACACAGUUUCCGGCGUCCAUCUCACAAAACCACCACCACCAAUCGAUCCAGCACCCAAAUUCGACCCAAGCCCGACCUCUCUUUCUCAUCUUCGCUCUCUGCCAUCACCGGAGACUCCAGCUCCGGCCACCACCUCACCACAUCGCCUCCACCAGUCGACGCCGCACCAAAACUGGAGCCUCACCGUCGACAUGCAUCGCCUCCAGCCUCCGCGUAGGUUCCUCAAAGCAGCGACGCCACUGCUCGUUGGCUUUCCUUGAUUUCCGGCCAUCAGCUCGCCACACCGCCAUCACUUCUCUACUCAGAACUCGCCGGACGUCUAAACCUUGAACCCCUGUUGACUGCCGAUGCCGGAAAGUGCCGUACACGUCUUAUGCCGGAGUCAUGCCGGAGUCUUAGCUUCUGCUAAGAUCGAUUUGUCUCCUCCGAUCAAAAUUGAGCUACAACGCCUCCAAGGAUGGAAUCAGGGCUUCACGAUCUAUCAAAGCCCUAGACCCCCGACCUCCAGCUCCGACUAGAGCCACCGCACGCACCUCACGCGCCACCACAGGCGCGUGGACCACCGUAACUCCGUCGCUCACGGUUGCCGGAAUCGUCAGG